rnacentral:rRNA from 1 species
AGUGAACGCUGGCGGUAGGCCUAACACAUGCAAGUCGAACGGCAGCACAGUAAGAGCUUGCUCUUACGGGUGGCGAGUGGCGUACGGGUGAGGAAUACAUCGGAAUCUACUUUUUCGUGGGGGAUAACGUAGGGAAACUUACGCUAAUACCGCAUACGACCUACGGGUGAAAGCAGGGGAUCUUCUGACCUUGCGCGAUUGAAUGAGCCGAUGUCGGAUUAGCUAGUUGGCGGGGUAAAUGCCCACCAAGGCGACGAUCCGUAGCUGGUCUGGGAGGAUGGUCAGCCACACUGGAACUGAGACACGGUACAGAGUCCUACGGGAGGCAGCAGUGGGGAAUAUUGGACAAUGGGCGCAAGCCUGAUCCAGCCAUACCGCGUGGGUGAAGAAGGCCUUCGGGUUGUAAAGCCCUUUUGUUGGGAAAGAAAAGCAGCAGGUUAAUACCCAGCUGUUCUGACGGUAACCAAAGAAUAAGCACCGGCUAACUUCGUG